rnacentral:rRNA from 1 species
GACGAGGGAUCCUAGCGUUGUUCGGAAUCACUGGGCGUAAAGCGUUUGUAGGCGGCUCUAUAAGUCGGGUGUGAAAUCCCACGGCUCAACCGUGGAAGUGCAUUCGAAACUGCAGAGCUUGAAUAUGGUAGAGGAGAGUAGAAUUCCUGGUGUAGUGGUGAAAUACGUAGAUAUCAGGAGGAAUACCGGUGGCGAAGGCGACUCUCUGGACCAAUAUUGACGCUGAGAAACGAAAGUGCGGGGAUCAAACAGG